AAGAAGUGAAAAAAAAAAAGACCGAAGUACCUAAGAGGUUUAAAUUUGAAGCCCACUGGGAUAACAUUUCAGGGUUAUCGAAUUGUAUACACAUACUUCUCCAGUAUGCACUUAAAGUUAGUAAAUCAUAUAUAGUCGAUAAAACUUACUUUAUCGUGAAUGGACAUUUACCCAGUUGUAUUUUAAGAUCUUUUUCUUUGUAAGAAUCACCAUUUUGACCAACAACUUUUUCAUUAACCUUGGUUCCAAACUUCGUAUCGAGGUCCUUUACUUCAAACUCGCAUGGGCCACCGGUAAACUGUGCACAUAUUAGCUGGCAUUGAUUUAAAAUAUAAGAAAGAUAAACAUAUAAUAGAAAUGAAAAAUGAAAAGCUCAAUAUUUCCAUUUAAUUGGAUACGUACGUAGUCUUUCUCACUUGGGGUCAAAAUCGUAAAACGAGCAUGGCGUUUACUAAUUGAUUUAGAAAUCACUUGAAUGUGGGACGAAUCGUCUGCAAUAUUAGAAAAUUAACAAAAAUAAGAAACUUACCAGA